rnacentral:rRNA from 1 species
GCAAGUCGAACGCGAACGUUUCUUCGGAAACUAGUAGAGUGGCGGACGGGUGAGUAACGCGUAGGAAUCUACCUAAGUGUGGGGGAUAACAUGAAGAAAUUCAUGCUAAUACCGCAUACGCCCCACGGGGUAAAGAAGGCCUCUUCUUGAAAGCUUUUGCAUUUAGAUGAGCCUGCGUCGGAUUAGCUUGUUGGCGGGGUAAUGGCCCACCAAGGCGACGAUCUCUAACUGGUCUGAGAGGAUGACC